GACAGAGGUGCCGAGCGUUAGGCGGAAUCACUGGGCUUAAAGCGUGUGUAGGCGGGCGGGCAAGUACCUUGUGAAAUCCCACGGCUCAACCGUGGAACUGCUGGGUAUACUGUCGUCUUGAGCCAACUAGGGGCGAGCGGAACAGACGGUGGAGCGGUGAAAUGCGUAGAUAUCGUCUGGAACGCCGAAGGUGAAAACAGCUCGCUGGGGCUGCGCUGACGCUGAGACACGAAAGCCAGGGGAGCGAACGGG
rnacentral:rRNA from 1 species